rnacentral:lncRNA from 1 species
GGAAUUUUAAUCUCGACGAGCCUCGAUGCGCCGCUGUUUCUUUUACCUUCAGAACGUGUCCCAGAAUAUAUGUAAUGCACAUUUACAUGACACUGUGUUGCAACUGUCCCGCAUGAGUUAAUAUACUCCGGUUCUGAUCGACACUCUCUGUAAACACACAGUGAGAUUUCAAGCCACGUCAGUCAACUUAUGUCGAUGUCUUCUUGCUAGUGAAUAUAUGAAUGUCACUGACUGGCUUUGUACAGGCUAAAAGAAGCUUGAAAGUUCGUAUGUAAGCAUGUCGGCCGCCACACGCGUGUCCAGGGGGACGGUACGUUCCCGUGUUUACGCUGCUAUCUAGUCACGCUGGCGCGUGCAGAUGCGGGUGGGGAAGAACACCUGCGGCGGUCCGGACCACAGAUGUCUCUGGAACAGUCGUAUGCAGCGAACUCGUUAGUGGACGCGGUUGCCGUUUCGUGUACCAGAACAGCAUUGGAGCGUUGAGCAACCAGCCAUAGGCUGCCCUGUGUGCUUGGCGGAGAGGUUCCCACCGGUCGCCAUGAUGUGCUGCCUGCCCACGGUGGUUCUCUUAGUGGCUGUAGCCGCUUCUGGAGUCAUACUUGCAUGCUUCAAGCUUGGUAACGCGGGCCCGAAGAAGCCGACGUACGGCUCUUCAGAAAAGUCCAGUUGCCGCCUGCUGGUUGAGGACAGCUAGCGCAGCCUACUGAGUGCCAGUUGCAAUGGAGAAAAGUCUCAAGCCACGGAAAUGUCGGAGAGCACGCCCGAAGCGCUCCGUUGAAGCUGGCGAGAGGCAACAAAAGAACAGGACACGCAACGAGAUCGACCCACUUUCGUAAUAAAAGUGUUCGCAUGUAA